rnacentral:misc_RNA from 1 species
GCAUGAGAGGUCAUGGAGAACAG